UGAACACAAGUAUAGGCAACUGAUUUCCAAUUCAGGCCCAAUCAUGGGCCCAAAUCAUUGAAAAAAAAACGUAGGCAUCAGCGAAAAAUAAGACUCCAAAUCCAUCCUUUAUCUUUUAACACUACCAGGAUCAAUUGUUUGAUUGCAUGUUUAUUAGAGGCCUGUUUUGGAUUUGAAUGUAACUGGACAUGAUUAUUCCUCAUGGAAAACAAAGCCUUUCAAUGCUAAUACUAUUCAAUUCAUACCAGAUCGCAGGCUAAUUACUUGAAUUUUUGAAAAGAAUCUACUUCAAACUCAUUCUUCAAGCAGUGAGCACCAGAAUAGAAGAUGAAAUUGACAUGCAACUACUCAUUCUCACUCACUCUGUAGCCUAUUACAUAAACAAAACUCAACAUCAACAUUUGAAAUAAGCUCACAACAACUUAAUAUAGUUCCCCGGCAAAGAGAUCUAAUGACUAGACUUGAAUCUAAGCAAAAGUUUUGAUUAAAAAUUAGAAUAACGAGAACAUAACAUAUACCCAGAUUUGACCAAACUUAAUGCUAAUCAGGCAUCCAUAAUAAUUCAGAAUCAGGCUAGAUUUCAACUAUACAAUACCAAAGUCUUAUGCCAAACAUACUAACAUCACUCAUUUACCUAAAGCAGAGUACAAUUCAUUAAGACAACAAACAAAUUUCAAACGUAAAAUCAGGGCAAGACUAUUGAAACAAUAAAGUAUAAAGGUACCAUGCUUCAAAUUAAGCUUUCAUUUCAAUGUUCGGGUUUACUUCAAUCAUUGAGGCUCAGAAAUAGAUACCUGAAAUUGAAAGGGAAAAGAAGUGAGGAAUGAGUAACCAGCAGCACAGAACCAACAGUAAAUAACCAGUUUUCAGCCCCGGAAAAGAUGCAAACAGCCUAGACGGAUGACUUCACAAACCAGCAACAAACCAGGAAACCUCAAACUAACCUUGAUUUCAAUCCAUUUUUAACUAUCAGCUACCCAAAAUGUUAUUCAAAGACUAAAUAGUAACCAUAUUAACAAGGUGAUCAAUAAAACAGUAAAAACAAUUUAGUCAUUUGAUUUUUUAAGUUUUUCAGAUUUUUUU
rnacentral:lncRNA from 1 species